ACGGGAGGCAGCAGUGGGGAAUAUUGCACAAUGGGGGAAACCCUGAUGCAGCGACGCCGCGUGAGUGAAGAAGUAUUUCGGUAUGUGAAGCUCUAUCAGCAGGGAAGAAAAUGACGGUACCUGACUAAGAAGCACCGGCUAAAUACGUGCCAGCAGCCGCGGUAAUACGUAUGGUGCAAGCGUUAUCCGGAUUUACUGGGUGUAAAGGGAGCGUAGACGGCGAGGCAAGUCUGAAGUGAAAUGCGGGGGCUCAACCCCUGAACUGCUUUGGAAACUGUUUUGCUAGAGUGCAGGAGAGGUAAGUGGAAUUCCUAGUGUAGCGGUGAAAUGCGUAGAUAUUAGGAGGAACACCGGCGGCGAAGGCGGCUUACUGGACUGUAACUGACGUUGAGGCUCGAAAGCGUGGGGAGCAAACAGGAUUAGAUACCCUGGUA
rnacentral:rRNA from 1 species